rnacentral:rRNA from 1 species
GGCAAUAUGCUGAGGAGGAGGGACAUUACAGAGUUUACAACUCCCAAACCCUCAUGUGAACAUACCACGAUGUUGCUUCGGCGGACUCGCCCCGGCGUCCGGACGGCCUAGCGCCGCCCGCGGCCCGGAUCCAGGCGGCCGCCGGAGACCACCAAAACUAUUUUGUAUCAGCAGUUUUUUCUGAAUCCGCCGCAAGGCAAAACAAAUGAAUCAAAACUUUCAACAACGGAUCUCUUGGUUCUGGCAUCGAUGAAGAACGCAGCGAAAUGCGAUAAGUAAUGUGAAUUGCAGAAUUCAGUGAAUCAUCGAAUCUUUGAACGCACAUUGCGCCCGCCAGCAUUCUGGCGGGCAUGCCUGUUCGAGCGUCAUUUCAACCCUCGACUUCCCUUUGGGGAAAUCGGCGUUGGGGACUGGCAGCAUACCGCCGGCCCCGAAAUGGAGUGGCGGCCCGUCCGCGGCGACCUCUGCGUAGUAAUGCAACCUCCCACCGGAACCCCGACGUGGCCACGCCGUAAAACGCCCCAGGUUCUGAACGUUGACCUCGGAUCGGGUCAAUAGUCCCCCCACAGCAAACCUUUAUAAAAAAAGGGGAAGAGCACUCCUCCGCUUAUUGAUAUGCCUUGUUACGACUUUUACAUCCACACC